rnacentral:sRNA from 1 species
AAGGCGAUCCAGUACGCGUAAUUCCAACUCUUCAUAUUUCAGGUCAUUCACCUUGAAUAAUUGAGGGAUGACCUCAUUUAAUCUCCAGUAGCAUUUUGACCUGUUAUGGGAGGAGUUAUGCGUCUGGAUCGUCUUAC